UAUUUCUUGAUCUCUUCUGCCAUUAAUGGGAAACAGCCAGCACCACUCGCCGAGGGCUCCAGCUGAGGAGUGCUGACUGCGCACCCUUCCCUUGCUGCCUUCAGCUCGACGGCCCUCAAAGGCCAGAGAUGCAUAUGAGAAAACUGCCUCUCUGCUAAUGAGCUGAAAUAUUCUGACAGUGACCCAGAUCGGCAUCCUCCAGGAGCGUUAAGCAAACCGAGCUCUCAAAACUGAGAUGCAUUCCUUUCUCGUCCUGUUCCUGCCUCUCAGGCUCUCUGUAUCCAUCCUGAUAACCAUCAAACCACAAUCUGACAACGGGAGACAGGGGAACCGGCUGGCGUGCUCUGAAACCAGCACAGCCCUUUUGGUACAGGGGUUCAGCGCGAGCUGCCUGGAAGGUCCAGUUCCAGAGCUGAGUCACUUCCCUGCUCCAGUGCUCCAGACACAGCGCUUGGGAAAAAAACAAGAAUCGUGUUUUGCAUGUAUGAGACAGCAACAAGACCCUCCGUUUAAACAUCCUUGCGUUAGUCUGGUGCUCUGCAUUAGCCUGACAAGCAAGCACAAGCUCAGCUCCUACAGUUCAGUGGGACUCUAAGAGCAGUUCCUUAGCAUACGGUGCUGGAACAAAAGGUAACUCAUAGCACCU